GUCACUUCUUGUCUUUUUCAGGAUCCAUACAAUAUGCUACCUCCAAAGGCAGCUUCAGGCACCAAGGAAGACCCUAAUUUAGUCCCGUCCAUCACCAACAAGCGAAUAGUGGGCUGCAUCUGUGAAGAGGACAACUGUACUGUUAUCUGGUUUUGGCUGCACAAAGGCGACGCUCAGCGAUGCCCAAGCUGUGGAACCCAUUAUAAGCUGGUGCCCCACCAGCUGGCCCACUGAGCCCCUGCGUUAACUUUUCAGAACGUGAUGGAAAAUUUCUCUCUAAUAAAGACUAGCCAUUGUAUUGGCUCCUCCCAUAGGUGGCUAGUCUUUCUUCUGUA